AGUAUUGCUAAUAUAUAAGAAACCAUCUAUUGUUAGUUUCAACUUGUUUGAGAGAUGAAAUUAAUAUUUCUUUACUCAUAACGUGCUAAACAAAAAGUAUUCAAAGUCAAAAGAAGGUAGAACUUUGCCAUAGUAUUAUGGUCGAAUGGUCCAAGCAAGGUUUCAGCAGAAAAACAUUGAAGGAGAAGAGAGUAAUGAAAGAGAAGGACGAGAAUAAAUUGGUCAAAGGGCAAAAGUUUAAUUAUUAAGGGAAAGAAAAGGAUUCAAAAAUCGAAUAUGGCAGUUAACCAUAUUUGCACAACUAUAACCAUUUAGCCCAUACGAGGAAGCGGUCUAUCAUUCUUCUUUCUAGUAAAGGAACUUCUAUAAGCAAAUACAUACAUACAUAUUGGGUAAACUGAAAGCAGUACUUGUGCAGGAGAGAAGAAGAGGAAGUACUUGCAGCUUUGUUUUUUGUCUGAAAAAUAAUAGGUUUGUCUUAGCCAUGGAGACUUCUCAAGGUCUUUAAGUAGUUAGUAGAGGACUUCAAUUUCUGGCUAAAUGCCAUAUCCUUUGUAAUCUUCCAAUUUGGUCCUAAGAUUCAUCACCUGCUAUCAACAAAAAGGCAGGAAAUAUCUAAAAUAUGAUGCAAGUGCUAGAUUUAACCUUCAAUAGAAGACAAAAAGACAUAAAUUUAGACUACUGGUAUUUUCAGUUUUAGACAGUUAGGGGAACCUGUGUUAUGCUUCUAAAACUACAUGGACACGAGACAAAUAUAGAAAUAUGUAUGUGAUACUGGAAUUGUAUUUUGGGGGUAUUGGAAUAUAUAUCUAAGUGUAUAAGAUAUGGGGAUCAAAAUGUACAUAGUAGAAGUUAAAGGGUGUUAGAGUUAUUUUAGUUAGUUAGUAACUAAUUGUUAGUUAAGACGUGUACAUAGUCGGUGUGAGCACGUGAUUUUUAUCUCGUUUGACAUGUUCCCAUAUAAUACAC
rnacentral:lncRNA from 1 species